rnacentral:rRNA from 1 species
AUACGGAGGAUCCGAGCGUUAUCCGGAUUUAUUGGGUUUAAAGGGUGCGCAGGCGGCCAUUUAAGUCAGCGGUUAAAUCGUGGGGCUCAACCCCAUUCUGCCGUUGAUAUUGGGUGGCUUGAUUGCGGUCGAGGUUGGCGGAAUUCGUUGUGUAGCGGUGAAAUGCAUAGAUAUGACGAAGAACACCGAUUGCGUAGGCAGCUGACCAGAUCGCAAAUGACGCUCAUGCACGAAAGUGCGGGGAUCGAACAGGAUUAGAUACCCUGGUAGUCCGCACAGUAAACGAUGAAUACUUGUUUUCGGCGAUAUAAUGUCGGAGGCAAAGCGAAAGCGAUAAGUAUUCCACCUGGGGAGUACGCCGGCAACGGUGAAACUCAAAUGAAUUGACGGGG